UACGUAGGGUGCGAGCGUUGCCCGGAUUUAUUGGGCGUAAAGGGCGCGCAGGCGGCUCGGCACGUCCGUUGUGAAAUCGCCCGGCUCAACUGGGCGGGGUCAGCGGAUACGGUCGAGCUUGAGCAAGCCAGGGGGCAAUGGAAUUCCCGGUGUAGUGGUGGAAUGCGUAGAUAUCGGGAGGAACACCAGUGGCGAAGGCGGUUGCCUGGAGCUUUGCUGACGCUGAGGCGCGAAAGCUAGGGGAGCGAACGGG
rnacentral:rRNA from 1 species